rfam:Tsukamurella paurometabola DSM 20162, complete genome.
UCGGUUCCGGUUCACGGCCCUGGCGAUGGCCAGGGGCGACCCGGCGACC